GUAAUGACUCAAGGGAACGAAGAAAUCUAGUACCCCUUCCUCCCAUUUUCCCCACAGCAACAACCCUGUGAGGUAGGAUGGGCAGAGAGUGGAUGAAUAAUCCAAAAUCACUUAGCUGUCUUUUAUGCUUAAAGUGGGACUGGAACUCAGGUUUCCUAUUUCUAGGCCCAUUUGAUCUUUCUAGAGAAAUUUUCACAGCUGACCUUAGUAU